rnacentral:lncRNA from 1 species
UAAAGCUUUUUGUUACAUUUCCUAUCAUAUUCUCAUAAUAGGGUGCCUUCAAAGUCAUAACAAACAUUAUUGUAGUCUCUUUUUUAGUUAGAGGUGAUUGAGCUUGAGCAACCAUAUCUUUCUAUCAUUGGACAUAUUCUUUGAAAGAUUUUAUUACCUUUUUUCCAUGCUUUAUAAAGAAAAGUGAUCAGAAGCCAAGUUAAUAAAGUGAUAACACUAAUUAAAAAAUGCCCGAGCAAACUCUUUCAAAGAGUGGAUGCGGGUUUAAUUUAGCUAGGUAUACCACCUUACAGCUGAACCAGUAAGGCUAUUUUAGGACAUAUGCAUUAAUAGCUUCUCAUCACUGGUCUAGGCAAUAAUUUUUUUACAAUACAUAAUGACAUGAAUUAUUGAACACUUUGUAUCGUCGUACUUUUUGAACUCAGAAACCUUGAAUUUUCAUAGGAUUACAACAUUUGAGACCAAGCAGAGGUUGGCUACAUCCAUGGAGCCAUCAAAGUCUAAACCUAUAAUGAUUCAUAGUCUCUCUUCCAAUAGGUUAAUUUUCUAUUCAAACUCUGAAUCCUUUAAACUUUUAACUGCCUUCAACUUUAACUUUAUCUUUUCUUUUGGAUUAUCCAAAUUAGGACUUGAAUUGGUUCUACUACUUUUUCAGUGAAGAUAGAACUAAUAAAACUUUAAAAUUACCCUUAAGUCAAUGUAGAAAGCAUCUCAAUAUAAGUAAAUUUUGUAGGAAAUAUGAAUGGUUAUAAAAAAAUUCCCUAGAUGGAAUGGACGUAAUAUGGACCAUAGCUAGAAGGAUACAGAGGAUCAAUAACAUCUUACAAUGGAUGGUCUUGAGGUUGAACAUAUUCUUUUAUAGCUUUCCCUUUGUUUAGCUUGCUUAGUGCUUCUAAGAUUUUGGUUUAACUCUCUUUUGAUCUCUUCUUGAGCCCUCUUUAACUUUUCAACAUGGCUUUCAUUUUCUUGUUCAAUUUGUCUAACUCAAGCUCAGGUAUUAUACUAGUGGUGAGUUGGUGGAGCUAUCUUUAAACCUUGAUUUAUCACAAUUAUAGUGUGAUUUAGAGUGAUGUUUAUGAAACCAUCCAAUUAUGUAUGAGAAUGAAUAUAGGAAUACAUAAGAAUGAAUGCAGGAAUGCAUGAAUGUAAUAAGGAGGAUUUACUACAUAACAAUUGUUAACAAAGAAAAUCUUUAUUGAAUUAAAAGUUAUUUAUAACCAAAUCUAAUAUUACAUCCAUAAAAAAUCUAUAAUUUAUUGAGGAAAGAAAUCCCUAAUUUGUCGAUAUUGGCUUUACAUUUCAUUAGAGAAAUCUAGUAGUUCUUGGCCAUGUACUCCCACUAUUGACACCCUUGUAUUUCAUUCUUUAACCUUUUUUACUAUGUCUUUGGCUUUGUAAGUAACCAUAGUGAGUUAGUCAAGCAGGUAGUCCAACUGGUCCUACUUUCUUACAUAUGCCUUCUUUACUUGCUCACAUUCUUCAUUCACAGCCCCCAUUUGUGUUUUAAUUUCAACCAUAACCCCAUUCAAUAUUUGGAUGUGUUUUAUGCCUUAGAAAGAGCAUUAUUAUUUUCUUGUAGCUUUGCUUGCAACUGUCCAUGUUUUUUCAAAAGUUGGGUCAACUCUCAAAUGUAGAUAACUGUGUUGUGUUAAGGUCAGCAAACAGACUCUUUCAUUCAUUUUUUUCUUAUUUAAGUGCUUAAACUUCCUUUUUUACCCUUUUAUUUACGAGUUUUAACUAUUCGAGCUCUUUUUUUAAGCCAGUAGAGAACUUUAUCGGGCUCUUUAUAGAUGUAACUAAGAUUUUUUCUUAUUAAAAUUGUUUUGUAGUAAUUUCUUAUGAUAAAUUUAAUGAUGUAAAUGCAUACAUAAUAAAAGAAAAAAGUUAGUAUAUAUACAAUACAUACAAAGUAUAAUAUAUAAAUGUAUAAUCAAAAUAGUAAUAAAUGUCCCAUUCUAACAUAAUGAAAGAUAGGGCUCUAAUUUAAAUUCUUAUCCUUAGGAUUUAUUUACAUGCUAAAGGUAUUGAAUAAAAGAAUAAAGUUAGGCAUAAGUGAAGGCUAAUGUUAAUUAGGUCAAAAGAUGCCAUGAAAGCUAAUGCUAAUUAGGUGAAAGCUAAUGCUAAUUAGGUGAAAGCUAGUGAAAGCCAUUGUAAAUCUUUUAGACUUAGACAAGAGUAAAGGCUUUCUAACUAGGGCCACCUAAGAAAGUCAGCAGAUCAGAUAAGGAAGAAGGAGUCCUCUCAAACAGAAAGUAAAAUGGUCAAAGUUUAAUUUGCCAAGGUGGGAAGGAGUAUAUCAACUCUAAAGAAUACUACAAAACUUGUAAUGGCUUGUAGUAGGUCUACUUAUGGGUAGGCAACUACAGUUGAAACUGGUUUAUAAGAAAAAAAAAUUAAAAGGGUUGGCCAAAAAUCAUUCUCCAUAGAGCAAGUUUUCCCCUUAUCUUUUUACAAAAAGCUACUCUAUGGUGGCUUUGUCUCAUUGUUUAUCUUAUAAUUAUAUUAUUCAAAAUAAUAAGAACUAUCUGGGAGUCCCGGUUAUUCAUGAGAGAGUGAUCAAAGAUACCUACAAUCAAAUUAUGGAAAGAGUUCGGGAAAAACUUGCGGGAGCAAUUCCAUAGCUACCUGUUAUCUUUGGUAGAGCAUGCUACAUUAGUUAAAUCUGUAACUUUAGCUCCCUUAAACUAGAUUAUGCAGACUACAAAGCUUCCUUUGUCUAUCGCUGAAGCGGAAAAUAGGAAUUGAUUUUGGGGAAAAGAAGGUAAUCGAAAUAAGAUUCAUCUAGUUGUUAGGGCAUUAAAGCCACCUAUACAAAAGUUGGUUUGAAAUUAUCUUUCAUUCUAAGGCAUAACUUGUAACCAUGUGCUUUAUAUUCACCUAGAGUUUGCUCUAAAAAAUAUAGUCAUCCCUACCCCCUUACAUUAAUCCUAUAAGCCUUCUAUCCAUUCUUGUUUUAUCACGGUGGGAGAGCAAAACAAAAUAGAAAAACUCACAUUGGGUUUAGGGAUAAUCAAGCUCAAACUGAUGACUUUCACCACAUCAAAAUGACAUUCUACUGCUGAGUUAUAUUCUUUCCCUGCCCCUAUCAAGAAAUAGAACUGACUAAUCCUAAGGUAAAAGAUCAAAAAACUCAACAAUGCCACUAUUCUUGAACAACUUGGAGCCAAGCUUUCUUUUUUACACUAUUAUGAAUACAAAAAUAAUAGAAAAAGUUAGAUUUGAUUUUCUGGGCUUCCUUUUAUCUGGACUUGCACUUUGAGUUCUCUCUUACCUUAUAGGGCUUUUUUUCGAUAAGAUGACUGAGCUAAAGAUAGUAAGAGAUCUUUCUCUGCCCUGUGUGACAAAGCUAUUUUGAUUAUCCCCCACCCCAAUAAGGAUAAGAUAUUGAUUUCUUUCUCCUUUUGGUAUCCGAGUUUCCAGCCAUUGAUCUUACAGUUGCUGGCCAUCCAGUUGAAGUUGGAAUAAUAGUUUUAAAGGUUUAACAGUUUAAGGGUUCCCAAAUUAUUCCUUACAUCAUUGUCCAUUAUGGACUAAUAAAGCACCCUAAUCCUCGCCCAUUAUAGGCUACAACCGAAAAAUGUUUAAUUUAUGUGAUAGUAUUUUACUAGCUUAUGUGGAGAUGAAGCUCAAGUGUAGAGCUCAUGUUAUAUACAUGUAAGUGAAUGACAAAUAUGAUUAAAAAAAGAUAAAUAAAUAAAGCAUAGACAAGGGAAAAUUUUCUUAAAUUUAUUAAGUUAGGCUUGGAUAACAAAAAAUCAUUUAUUAGCUUGACUCUCAAAUUUUCUUAAUGGAGUCGCCAAACUGUUAUAACAUAUAGAUCUGUAAAUCUAUCGCUAGACUUGACUUUAGGAGUUAUCACAAAUCUUUUUUAUUUAGGUAUGAUUGGCUACCUAACUAAAUCUAUCACAUCUUAAAGAUGGGCCACAAACUUAACUUAAGUAUCUUUAAAUGGUAGAUUUUAGUCUACGAAACUAGAUUUAGGUUCAGGAGUAAGGUUACGUAUAAGAAAGGUUAUAGCAGCCUCACAACACCAACCAAAAAUAUGGUACUAAUUUGAUUUCAAAUUAUCCAAGCCUUAAAACAUCUUUAUAAUUUACCAAAUAAUUUAAUUAUUAAAAAUUGAUCUUAAAAUUACUCUAUUAGUUUAGUAACAGUUAAGAUAAUUUUCUUACCUCAGGAGUAUUCAUAGAGACUAGUAUCCCACUUUGAAGAAGCUUCGUUGUUGGAUUCAUUUAUUUUUUGGUAAAAACUUUUAUUUGUGAUAACGAGAUUUAGAACCUUGGUAUAAAAAAUUCUUAUCGAAAUUCUCCAAUACGUUCGUAAAAUUUAGAAAAGAUUUUCUCACCUAAGAAUUUACAUAGAGAUUGCUAUUUGCAACGCUCUUAGUAAUUCUAUUAUUGGAGAUUUAAAAUCUAAUUUUUAUAAAAAUAAUU